UCGGCGCGGGCCCGGGGCUGGCCAGCAGCUUGCUCCGCGCGGAUCCGGGGAGUGCGUGAGAGGAGAGCAGCUCUGAGCCCUGCUUCCAAGGGGCGCUCUCGGUUAUUCUCCUCGCUCCCUCAGUCCGACCCCGGGCGCUCCCCCGCGGAGAUUGGUGUGUGAGAAGAACAGCUGUGAGAAUGUGUUCUAGGACCUGGUUACCUUUCCUUCAUCAUCUCUCAACCCAUGGGUAUAUUGGGAAAAUCAGAGAUUGGUCAAGUCAUACCUCCAAGAAGGGCUUGACCAGGGUGGACUUUGUGGUCCCACCAAGAAGCUUGGACUUCAUCCUGUUGGGGGAUGGACCAAAGGAGAGGUAUGAGCAGAGAGGCAUCCACAAGGAUGGCUCAUCCUUCACCCACUUCAAUCACCAGUGUUGUACUGCCAUUGGGGAUUACACAUGCAGCUUUGUAGCUUGUGAGGGGUUUGACGCAUGCACCUCUGAGAUAUGCUUCAGUGAUAGCAGUCUUAGCUCCUCCAUUGCACACAUGAGGAGGGUAAGUGGCCAGCCUAUAAGGCAGAGAGGACACUUGCCCUAAGAAAGGCACAGGUAGAAAGACAGAAACAAACGUGUACCAAGCUCCCUGCUCUGUGCUAGGCCCUGGCUUGUGUGAGCUUGCCCAGUCCUCACAGCCACCACACAAGGGGUGAUCACCCCCACCCCUUUGCACAUGGGGUGCAGGGAAGUAAAGUGACUUGUCCUGGAUCACACAGGGAGUAAGUAGUAAAGCUGAGAUUCACACCAAGUCUUCUGGAGCCUCAAACCUGUAUGCUUUUCCUGCCUCCCAAGGCUGGGAGAGGGAGCACCUGUAACAGCAGAACUACUGGACGAAAGCAAAUUCCCAUCCAUUGCCUCCACAGCCCUGGGAGAGAUGGGGUUUCGCCACGUUAGCCAAGAUGGUCUCAAGCUCCUGACCUCGUGAUCCGCCCAUCUCAACCUCCCAAAGUGCUGGGAUUACAGGCAUGAGCCACCGCGCCUGGCUGAAAUCAUUUCGUCAAAUACAACCUUGAAAGCCCAAGAAGUGACAGGGAUGACAGGCUGCUGGGGUGGUCCCACAGUUCCUCAGGGUUUGUCUCUCACUUGCCCAGCCCACACACCCUGUCUCCAGGGCUCUGUGGAACACAGUUUGAAACUCCUGCUGCACAGAAUAGCAAGUGCGGGGCCGGAGGAUGCACUGAAGAUGGGCAUUCAGGCGGAUGCCCCCUGCACACUGUGGAAAGGCACCCUGCUGGGCUGGCACCUGGUCAGACCCAUCUUCCUGAGCAAGGACACUGGACAGGCAGGGACAAAGCUGAUUCUGAGCAGAUCUGGCACAAGGCAGUCACCAGAAAACACUAUUGGGUUCUUCAAGGGUAAAGACUGGAUCUUAUCCGUCUUGUUGCACAUUCCUGCCUCUGCAAUCAUGUGCACUCUGGGAACUUGGAAAAUACAUUUUGGCAUCCAGUAUUAAAUCUCAUGGUACCUAGAA
rnacentral:antisense_RNA from 1 species